rnacentral:snRNA from 1 species
AGAUUUGUGCAGCGGCAGGAUCAUAGCCAAUAAGGUUUAUCUGAGGCUCAGUUAUUGCUAAUUGAAAACUUUUCCCAACACCCUGCUACGACAACUUGCAAUAGGUCAGCACUGUCGAGUUUUGAUAGUCUCUACGAAGG